UACGUAGGGGGCGAGCGUUGUCCGAAGUUACUGGGCGUAAAGCGCGCGUAGGCGGUCAUUUAAGUCUGAGGUGAAAGGUUCAGCGCUCAACGUGAACAGUGCCUUGGAUACUGGGUGACUUGAGUUCGGGAGGGGGCAGUGGAAUUCCAGGUGUAGCGGUGAAAUGCGUAGAUAUCUGGAGGAACACCGAUGGCGAAGGACAGCUGCCUGG
rnacentral:rRNA from 1 species